UUCUCUGUUAAUUGUCAGCUGCUUUUCUCAGAUUCCAGGCCAUUAUCCAGCAAACACUAUAAAAAUGUUUGAACAGUUGCAUUUCAAACAUUUUCGUUUUUGUGGAGUGGUGCUUAUCAAGUGGUACAGCUCUGGAAGCAAGUGAACA
ensembl:misc_RNA